rnacentral:sRNA from 1 species
ACUAAAAGUUGCUGUGUUGCUUUUAUGUUCCUGCAAUGCGUCACCGCUUGUGGCAUCGAUCUUCGCAGUCUAUACCGAUGGUCCAACCACGUAUCUACGUACCAAGCCCUAAACCUGAUGCACCGGCCGCAACGAAUGGACAAACAGUGAAUCAUAGCGAAACGAAACCCUUUCAUUCGAGAGAAUCAAACUCUUCAAAGAUAUGCAUCUCAUCUCAUCUUAGCUUCUCCUUACUCACCAGUUCACUGGUUCAGUGACUCCCCUGCUCCUGGAUGCUAUACCGUUCUAAGGUCUAUAAAAGGCCCAUAUGUACCUCUCCUAGGCGAUUUAGGAUCUCUCUCACGCCACCCUUUCUUGGCAUAUCCCUGCUCACCCACAGCUUAAUGCUCCCGUCUCCUUCACAUCAAACCACAUUUUUUCUCUUCACUCACCAUGUUACCCCCUCUUGACUCAGCCGGGCCCAACCUUAAUAUCACUUCUUUCCCUUCAUCAGCCUUUUGCCUCUCACCACUUCCUCAGAAACCGCUUUAUCACUGCAAAUGGUGCCACCAUCUCUACCCACAGAGUCCUGCGCACCCGAAGGAUGGUGAACAAUGUGUUGUGUGCAAUAGGUUGUUAUACCAUAAAGAGUGGGAGAUGACGCCUGGGAUUCAUUAUGUCUAUCCAUGGAAGUUACUCGAACUAUUGAGCAAAUCUAGGUGAAGGUAAGGUGGGUAGGAGGAGAGCCAGAUUUGGGGAUGAAGCUAUAGAGCUAUCGAAUACGAUCAAUAACAAUAUACCACACUGCUGGAUCUGCUUCGUUCUCCUAUCAAUGGAAGAAGACAACUAUGCAGGGAUGUCAGCUACAGAAUAGUGAUACAACUUUUUCGUAUGCAUAUGCAAUGUCGAUGUGGAU